rnacentral:lncRNA from 1 species
GCGCCGGCCUAGCCCGGCCAGGCCCGGCGGGCGGCGCGUUGACCUUGCGGGCGGUCAAACCGGCCACCCGUUUUUCCCUGGCGGUGGCGCUCGGGAGUCUGGGUGGGGGCCUCGGAGCCAGGGGCCACGGACUGCAUCACGGUAGAGAGAUUCGCGAGCCUCAGGCGAGGGACGCAACCUCCAGCUCCGCGGAGACCGAGGGUGGCCACGUCCAGGGACAUCUCCGGUUCAUUCAUUGGGUUCCUACUGUGUGCUCUUAUACGGCGCUCAGCCAGCCCAACUGAUGUGGAGUGCUGUGCGCGGCCCUGCUAGGCUUCUUUGUGGAUGGCCGGGGCGAGGUAGGGUAGUACUGUGGGUCUGCAGGAGACAGGAGGCAGUUAGGACAGAGUCGACUAUUACACCCAGACAGUCCACUCAGGAGAGGAGAUCCAGACCUCCCAAUGCCUUUACUUUUGUCCCAAGAACGACGUCAAGCCCGUCCUCUUCACUAUGGCCCGGCGUGCACGGAGUAGCAGGGCAUGGCACUUUGUCCUGAGUGCAGCACGCCGAGAUACAGAUGCUCGAGCUGUGGCUCUGGCAGGCAACUCUAACUGGGGCUACGACUCUGAUGGGCAGCACAGCGACUCCGACUCUGACCCUGAGUACUCUUCCCUGCCACCAUCCAUCCCCAGUGCUGUGCCUGUGACAGGAGAGUCCUUCUGUGACUGUGAGG